UAAAUUUGCGUUUUACCUAUUCGUAUAUCUUUGGCAAUACGGGCCAGAGGUCUCUACAAGGAACCGAAAAUUCCUGGCUACGAAUGGACGGUUUUACCGU
rfam:Paenibacillus sp. HGF7 contig00161, whole genome shotgun sequence.